rnacentral:rRNA from 1 species
GAACGCUAGCGGCAGGCUUAACACAUGCAAGUCGAGGGGCAGCGGGGAGGAAGCUUGCUUUCUCCGCCGGCGACCGGCGCACGGGUGAGUAACACGUAUGCAACCUGCCCCUGUCAGGGGGACAACCCGCCGAAAGGCGGGCUAAACCCGCGUACAUGCCACCGGGGCAUCCCGGAGGCAGGAAAGGCUUCGGCCGGACAGGGAUGGGCAUGCGGCGCAUUAGGCAGUAGGCGGGGUAACGGCCCACCUAACCGACGAUGCGUAGGGGUUCUGAGAGGAAGGUCCCCCACACUGGUACUGAGACACGGACCAGACUCCUACGGGAGGCAGCAGUGAGGAAUAUUGGUCAAUGGUCGGGAGACUGAACCAGCCAAGCCGCGUGAGGGAUGAAGGUACAGAGUAUCGUAAACCUCUUUUGUCAGGGAACAAAGGCGGGGACGUGUCCCCGGAUGAGUGUACCUGAAGAAAAAGCAUCGGCUAACUCCGUGCCAGCAGCCGCGGUAAUACGGAGGAUGCGAGCGUUAUCCGGAUUUAUUGGGUUUAAAGGGUGCGCAGGCGGUCUGUUAAGUCAGCGGUCAAAGCCCGGGGCUCAACCCCGGCCCGCCGUUGAAACUGGCAGUCUCGAGUUGGAGAGAAGUAUGCGGAAUGCGCGGUGUAGCGGUGAAAUGCAUAGAUAUCGCGCAGAACUCCGAUUGCGAAGGCAGCAUGCCGGCUCCACACUGACGCUGAGGCACGAAAGCGUGGGUAUCGAACAGGAUUAGAUACCCUGGUAGUCCACGCAGUAAACGAUGAAUGCUGGCUGUCCGGGGGGGAUUGACCCCUGGGUGGCGAAGCGAAAGCGAUAAGCAUUCCACCUGGGGAGUACGCCGGCAACGGUGAAACUCAAAGGAAUUGACGGGGGCCCGCACAAGCGGAGGAACAUGUGGUUUAAUUCGAUGAUACGCGAGGAACCUUACCCGGGCUCAAACGGGGAGUGACUCAGGCAGAGACGCCUGUUUCCCACGGGACACUCCCCGAGGUGCUGCAUGGUUGUCGUCAGCUCGUGCCGUGAGGUGUCGGCUUAAGUGCCAUAACGAGCGCAACCCCCGCGUGCAGUUGCUAACAGAUAACGCUGAGGACUCUGCACGGACUGCCGGCGCAAGCCGCGAGGAAGGCGGGGAUGACGUCAAAUCAGCACGGCCCUUACAUCCGGGGCGACACACGUGUUACAAUGGGUGGUACAGCGGGAAGCCAGGCGGCGACGCCGAGCGGAACCCGAAAUCCACUCUCAGUUCGGAUCGGAGUCUGCAACCCGACUCCGUGAAGCUGGAUUCGCUAGUAAUCGCGCAUCAGCCAUGGCGCGGUGAAUACGUUCCCGGGCCUUGUACACACCGCCCGUCAAGCCAUGGGAGCCGAGGGCGCUUGAAGU